rnacentral:lncRNA from 1 species
UUUAAAAAAGUUAACAAAAGAAAAUCCGUACCAAAUGUUUCUGCAACAAAAGGUAUCUUGCAAAAGGUUGUUGCAAUAGCGAGGAAAAAGUCGGGCCGUUAGAUGACCCCUGAUUAAACAGCCAUGGAGACGGCAUAUCUUUUAAAAAGAUCUGCUGCCCAUAGCGUCGCCCAUCUCAAAAACAUCAUAUCAAAAGAAUUCUACGCUGAACCACUAGAAUAAAGUUCUUCCCAUUGCAUUGUACGAGUAUUUAGCUAGUCGAUUACGAUCAUAUAUAUACUGCUCCUAUAUAGGAGUAGUAACUAAAUGGCUAGAAUAUUUUCAAAAAAAGAAAACAAACUGAGAGUGUAAAUGGCUAGAAGGACGUAAAUGGUACGAACGUGGACUGGUCUACAGCUCCAACCUUGGCCAAGUGCUUGGCCAUGAGCUCGACCAGAUCAGGGGGGCAACCCGUCUUCAACUGCUCAAAACCCUCGGUCGCGACCACGGCUACCAGGUUAGCAGGAGAGGAAAUAAAN